CAUGGUUUUUUGAUUAUAAUUUAAAAUUGUACCUGCCCAAUGAAGUUUUAAAUGGCCGCAGUAUAUUGACUGUGCGAAGGUAGCAUAAUCAUUAGUUUUUUAAUUGAAAGCUGGAAUGAAUGGUUUGAUGAAAAAAUUACUGUCUCAAAUUUAAAAAUUGAAGUUUAUUUUUAAGUGAAAAAGCUUAAAUUAAAAAUAAAGACGAGAAGACCCUAUAGAGUUUAAUAUUAAUUGAUAAAAAUUGAUUUUGUAUUAAAUUUAAUUUUAUUAAUUUGAUAUUUGGUUGGGGUGACAAAUAAACUAAAUAAACUUUUUUUAAUUAUUACAUUAAUUAGUGAAUAGUUGAUCUUAAAUUUUUGAUUAAAAGAAAAAAUUACCUUAGGGAUAACAGCGUAAUUUUUUCGAAGAGUUCAAAUCGAUGAAAAAGAUUGCGACCUCGAUGUUGGAUUAAAAUUUAAAUUAGGUGUAGAAGCUUAAAAUUUUAAGUCUGUUCGACUUUUAAAAUU
rnacentral:rRNA from 1 species